GACAUUGGACUGGGGAGGAGGAAGCACAACUUUAUUUUCUGGCCCGAAGCUGGGUUGGUAUUUGGGGGAGUUCUUGGGAACACAGUGUGUCUGUGCAAUUUCAACCCUGGGGGAUCCAGGGGACUCCAGCCAUUCCAGAGGAGAUAAACCUGCCAGUAAUUUCAGCAAAUGAAACGUGGAACACGUCAAGGCCAGAGGAUGGAAAAGGCUCCAGUUUUGAUAAAAGGAGGCCUGCUUGGCUUGGAAUCCUCUCUCCUGCUGGUUGGGAGAUGCAAAGAUGUUUCCAGAGAGGGGCUGAUGAAUUGAGGGGAAAGAAAUGAGCCCAGUAUGAGUCCCCUUUCAGGGCUGAGCGUGUAUAAAACCAAACAACUUGGAACCGCUCCAAGAGAGGGGAUUAAAGCAACAUGUUAUUCUGAGUGAUUGCUUAAUUUAUUGAGCUGCGGCUGGAUCUGUAAUGAAAUACAGCCCUUGUAACUGAUAACCUCCUGCUGCCAUUGAACUUCUACAAUUAAGGAAUAUUUUCUGAGUUUCUCUGGAACGGCUCUGAAUUUUUAGCCUCUGUGGUAGGGUGCUUCUGAACAUUUGUUUUCCAGGCAAUUUUUUUUGAGUAUUAGGCUGAUGUUAAUAAAUAAGCAGCAUUUUAUUGAGUGUUUUGUGGGAACCAGGAACUUUAUAUACAUUGUUUCUAAUCCUGACACUAAUCCUGUCAAUAUCCAGUGAAAUAACCCCUAUUAUUCCCUAUUUUACAGAUGUGAAGCCACGAGACGUUAGGUCAUUUUCUAGAGUGGUGCUGUCCAAGACAGUAGCUGUGAUGGCUCCUUGUGGCUAUUGAUGUGUAAAUUAGUUAAAAUUAAAUAAAUUUUAACAUUUACACCCUAGGUUGCACUAACAA
rnacentral:lncRNA from 1 species